CCGAGUUUACAACUCCGAAACCCCAUGUGAACCUUACCAGCACGUUGCUUCGGCGGGACCGCCCCGGGCCGGCCCCGGAGCCAGGCACCCGCCGGGGACCCAAACUCUCCAGUUUUGUCAGCGGUUUUCUGAGUGGCUAUAAGCGAAAAAUGAAUCA
rnacentral:misc_RNA from 1 species